UAGGGAAGAAAUUGGGGAAUUUAGGAAAAAUUUGGGAAUUUUGGGAAUUAUGGGAAGAAAUUUCUGCAGGGAAAGGGAAGGGCUUUGGGGAAAAAAAUGGGAAUUUUGGGGAAGAAUUUGGGACUUUUAGUGAAGGAAUUCCUAAAUUUUGGGAAGAAUUUUGGGAAGAAAAUUGGAUGAUUUUGGGAGAAAUUUUUGAGGGAGAAUUUUGGGAAGAAAUUGGGGAAUUUGUGGAAAAUUUGGGAAUUUUGGGAAAGGAAUUUGGAAGGAAUUUCUGGGCAAAAUUCGGGAAUUUUGGGGAAGAAUUUGGGAGUAAUUUGGAAAAUUUUUGGAGGAAUUUUGGGAGGAGAUUUGAGGAGAAAUUGGGAAUUUUUGGAAUAAAUUUGGGGAAAAAAAUGGGAAUUUUGAGGAGAAAUUUUGGGGAAGAAUUUGGGACUUUUGUGAGGGAAUUCCUGAAUUUUGGGAAGAAAUUUGGGAAUUUUGGGAGAAAUUUUUGUGGGAGAAUUUUGGGAAGAAAUUGGGGAAUUUGUGGAAAAUUUGGGAAUUUUGGGAAAGGAAUUUGGGGAACUUUGGGAAAUAUUUUGGAAGGAAUUUAUGGGAAAAAUUUGGGAAUUUUGGGAAGAAAUUUCUGCAGGGAAAGAGAAGGGAUUUGGGGGAAAAAAAUGGGAAUUUUGGAGAGAAAUUUUGGGGAAAAAAUUGGGAAUUCUGUGAGGGAAUUCCUGAAUCUUGGGAAGAAAUUUGGGAAUUUUGGGAGAAAUUUUUGUGGGAGAAUUUUGGGAAGAAAUUGGGGAAUUUGGGGAAAAUUUGGGAAUUUUGGGAAAGGAAUUUGGAAGGAAUUUCUAUGCAAAAUUCAGGAAUUUUUGGAGAAAUUUUGGGGAAGAAUUUGGGAAUUUUGUGAGAGAAUUCCUAAAUUUUGGGAAUUGUGGGAGAAAUUCUUGUGCGAGGAUUUUGGGAAGAAAUCCAGGAAUUUGUGGAAAAUUUGGGAAUUUUGGGAAGAAUUUUGGAAGGAAUUUCCAGGCAAAAUUUGGGAAUUUUGGGGAGAAAUUUUGGGGCAGAAUUUGGGAUUUUUGUGACGGAAUUCCUAAAGCUUGGGAAUUGUGGGAGAAAUUUUCGUGGGAGAAUUUUGGGAAGAAAUUGGGGAAUUUGUGGA
rnacentral:lncRNA from 1 species